rnacentral:rRNA from 1 species
CGAAGGUGGCAAGCGUUGUUCGGAUUUACUGGGCGUACAGGGAGCGUAGGCGGUUGGAUAAGCCCUCCGUGAAAUCUCCAGGCUUAACCUGGAAAGUGCAGAGGGGACUGUUCAGCUAGAGGAUGGGAGAGGAGCGCGGAAUUCCCGGUGUAGCGGUGAAAUGCGUAGAGAUCGGGAGGAAGGCCGGUGGCGAAGGCGGCGCUCUGGAACAUUUCUGACGCUGAGGCUCGGAAGCGUGGGGAGCAAACAGGAUUAGAUACCCUGGUAGUCCACGCCUUAAACGAUGGAUACUAAGUGUCGGCGGGUUACCGCCGGUGCCGCAGCUAACGCAGUAAGUAUCCCGCCUGGGAAGUACGGCCGCAAGGUUG